CUCAAGGAGCGGCAGCCAGAAGAUGUGUCAAAGCACCUUCUUCAGCAUCUCAGGGAAGGGCCACAGUGAGCGUGUUUUGCAACUCAUUGUUAAAUUGAGAAUAAAAAAUCCCCAGCUGCCUUCCA